GUAGGGGGCAAGGCGUUGUCCGGAAUUAUUGGGCGUAAAGAGCGCGUAGGCGGUCCGAUAAGUCGGCUGUGAAAGUCAGGGGCUCAACCCUUGAAAGCCGGCCGAUACUGUCGGACUAGAGUCCGGAAGAGGCGAGUGGAAUUCCCAGUGUAGCGGUGAAAUGCGUAGAUAUUGGGAGGAACACCAGUGGCGAAGGCGGCUCACUGGACCGGAACUGACGCUGAGGCGCGAAAGCGUGGGGAGCAAACAGG
rnacentral:rRNA from 1 species